rnacentral:lncRNA from 13 species
UGGACACAGACGUUGCCUGUCCUGGGGGUUCUAGAACGUUGUCCUCCCCAGGGGGUUCUAGAACGUUGUCCUCCCCAGGGGAUUCUAGAUGUGAUAUCAUGGACUGUAUCAUGUGACUGGAGGUUAGGGAUUGGAGUUUUACCUGACUAGGAAUAACUCCUGGCCUUAACAAUGAUGGCAAUAUUCACAUUUCUCAAAAAAAAAUCCUGUUUCCUCACUGAAAUGUCCACUAGCGUCUGUUUUUACAGUGCUUUCUAAAUGUUUUCCAAGAACCACACGAGUCACUUCCUCAGUUCUUCCAGACAGGUCAUGUUCUGACAGAGCGGUAUGAACUCACACACAACCUGAACUCAGUUUAUGACAUUAAAUGAUGUUCUGACAGAGCGGUAUGAACUCACACACAACCUGAACUCAGUUUAUGACAUUAAAUGUUUUAUUUGUUUACAGAAUACUGUGAGGAGGGUUUCUAGUAUCCAUCUUUAUCUAACCCUCUUUCCUCCUCUAGGAAUAUUUACCCUCUCCCCUUCACUCUUCCCCGUUAUCCCCGUCUUCCUCACCUCCCCUCUAGGAAUAUUUACCCUUCCCUCUUCCUCAAUACCCCGGUCUUCCUCUCCUCCCUCUCUAGGAAUAUUUACCCUCUCCUCUUCCUCCUUACCCCAUGUCUUCCUCCCCUCCUCCUUACACUUCAAUCACACCGACAGAGUCAUUACAUGUUGGUACACCCAGACGUACAUUCAUCUCCAGUAAACAACGCUGCGCAGUGCGUUCUGGGUAGAGCGUCACGUUGGAUGUAUCAGACUGUCUGCUGCAGACGGCUUGGCAGAAACGGUAGUAGAAGGUGAACGUUGAACUUCAGACAUAACCAGACGACGCUGCGUACUACGUUGGAUGUAUCAGACUGUCUGCUGCAGACGGCUUGACAGAAACGGUAGUAGAAGGUGAACGUUGAACUUCAGACAUAACCAGACGACGCUGCGUACUAUUUUGCUCAGUGGGACGCUGUCGGUGUGUU